rnacentral:rRNA from 1 species
GACGAACGCUGGCGGCGUGCCUAAUACAUGCAAGUCGAACGCAGUGGGGACGGGUGAGUAACACGUGGGUAACCUCCCAUCAGAGGGGAUAACACUUGGAAACACGUGCUAAACUGAUACUGAUGGAUGGGACCGGGGUGCAUUAGCUAGUUGGUGAGGUAACGGCUCACCAAGGCCACGAUGCAUAGCGGACCUGAGAGGGUGAUCGGCCACACUGGGACUGAGACACGGCCCAGACUCCUACGGGAGGCAGCAGUAGGGAAUCUUGUGCAAUGGGCGAAAGUCUGACCCAGCAACGCCGCGUGAGUGAAGAAGGUUUUCGGAUCGUAAAGCUCUGUUGUUAGAGAAGCGGUAUCUAACCAGAAAGCCACGGCUAACUACGUGCCAGCAGCCGCGGUAAUUC